AAUUUCAUGGGUUUAACAUCAACAUUUUCAUCAUUCCCAGUAUUCAAUCAAAUUUCAUGGGUUUAACAUCAUCAUUUCUAUAAUUCCCAUAAUUCAAUCAAAUUUCAUGGGUUUAACAUCACCAUUUUCAUCAUUCCCACAACACAAUCAAAUUUCAUGGUUUUAACAUCAACAUUUUCAUCAUUCCCACAAUUCAAUCAAAUUUCAUGGGUUUAACAUCAUCAUUUCUAUAAUUCCCACAAUUCAAUAAAAUUUCAUGGGUUUAACACCAACAUUUUACUCUUUCUAACAAUUCAAUCAAAUUUCAUGGGUUUAACAUCAUCAUUUUCAUCACUCCCACAAUUCAAUCAAAUUUCAUGGGUUUAUCAUCAUCAUUUUUAUAAUUCCCAC
rnacentral:lncRNA from 1 species